rnacentral:rRNA from 1 species
AUUGAACGCUGGCGGCAGGCCUAACACAUGCAAGUCGGGCGAGCGGCGGACGGGUGAGUAAUGUCUGGGAAUCUGCCUGAUGGAGGGGGAUAACUACUGGAAACGGUAGCUAAUACCGCAUACUAUCGGAUGUGCCCAUAGGGGAUUAGCUAGUUGGUGGGGUAAAGGCUCACCAAGCCGACGAUCCCUAGCUGGUCUGAGAGGAUGACCAGCCACACUGGAACUGAGACACGGCCCAGAAUCCUACGUGAGGCAGAAGUGGGGAAUAUUGCGCAAUGGGGGCAACCCUGAUGCAGCCAUGCCGCGUGAAUGAAGAAGGCCUGCGGGUUGUAAAGUUCUUUCGGUAGCGAGGCGUUAACUACAGAAGAAGCACCGGCUAACUCCGUGCCAGCAGCCGCGGUAAUAC